UCCAACUGCUACCUCAAGCCCAGAGGGGAAGAUGAUUUUUCAUUUUAUUUUAUUUUUUCUAAAAGGGGGGGGGAAAAAGGAACCAGAAACAGUUAGAUCAAGGCAGUGGUCAGGGUGGUGGCGCAAAAGAAAACUACUUUUUUUUUUUUUGAAAUAACAUGAUUAAGAUUGCUUGGAGUGCGGCCUGUUGCCAUGAGUUACCUUCAAAACAGUGCUGCUUGGCAAUAAGGACAAAGAGUGUUCCACUUUUUUUUAACGGAACUUUGCCGGCAAUGAAAGUUGCCGUUGCCUCGACUCGAACAAAAAAAAAAAUACAUUCAGUCUUCUGCAAACCAGGUGGCUUAUUCUGGAUAGUCCAAAGGGCAGAAGGGAAAAAAAUUCCUUGGACAAAAAACAGAUUGUCUCACUGUGAGAGGAAACUGGAUCGGACCAAUCUACUGCGGUGCGCAGUUGAUGCGUGGCGCGCGGAAAACGACGCCAAGAAACGAAAACCGCCACGACUUAAUGACACAGGCCGGCUGUGGGCGAGGAGCACGAUUUGGUCUCGGGGAGGAUGGGCUGAUUUAGUCUUUGAGCGGCAGAAGACUGAAGGUGUCCCCAAGCAGCUACUCUCAGUGGUCUCCCGCACACUUCAAGCAAAUCAAGACGACAGCGAAAACCCGCUAACAAAGUGACAGUCAGCAACCACAAAAAACAAGAGAAGAUGAAGUGAUUCUUUUCUUCCCCAUGAAACUGCUCAUGAGGCUUUUAUCAUGAGUGCGAAAAUACUCAACUGUUUUGCGUAGUUUACUAGAGAGACCCUGACAAAAUGUCAUAUGGACAUUCAUCUAGUCUAAAUAAUGAUAGGACUAAAAGUUGGAAUACUUUCCUUCAGUUGUGAGAGGAGACAAAACAUUAACUCCCACACAUUUGAUUCUUUCUGUACAGAUGUCGAAUUGAAGUUAGAUAAUGUUUGACUCAUUUGUUUCCCCUCAUUGUGCAGUAAUGCGCUUUAUAACCAAGUGCACCCUAUAAAAAUAAUUUUUCAGAAAUAGACCCAUUGAUUGAGACUGCACCUUAUAAAUUCGGUGCGCCUUAUAGUCCGAAAAAUACGGUACACAAAAAUUACUUUUGUAUCAUGUUUAUGAUGGCUGGGGAACGAGUGCCAAAACAAUAGAAAUUUAAUUUAAUCCGAUUUUUUCCCCCAUUUAUUUUCUUAGGGAAUAAUGAAUAAUAAUAAAUCUUCAGAUGACACAUUUCUCAAAACCCUCAAAAGUUAAACCAUGAACUGAGUGCCAUUGAUUGAAGGAAUAUUACUGCCUCUAAAAAGCCUCUGUCAGCUGUUACAAGCGUGCAAGUCGAGACAGGUCAUGACUAACGACACUGCGUUGGUGGCGAUGAGAAACGAAAAAACAUUUAGUCUCCUCUGUGUUAAAGAGAACUGAAACCUUCCAAAAUAAAAAGCUUGCAAAACUUAAACUAGCAGCGGGAUCACCUUAGGUUUACAGGGAUCAUCAAGUCUGACGCCCGCUAUUUUCGGUCACACUAAACACCGUCACAACAGAGCACCGUCAUUACCAAACAUGUAAACAGUGUUUAAGCACGCGUCAAGUUUGCAGCUCAUGCAGCGUAGUAUCAAAACGACUAUAUUUGAUAUAUUUCAGUGACACUAAAAAUGCUGUCACAUGUAUGCCAGGCCAAUAGUUGGCGAUGUCAUAAAAUAACAAAAUUACAAAUGUAGAAAGUAUUAUAAACUGUGUUUGGAAUACCCUUUUAAGGUGUAUAAGUGAGUUUAAAUUUUGACGCAUGUCAAUAAAAUGACUGAUGGAGACGCUUAAUUACACAGCUAUUGUUGUUUUGGUUGCUUACUGACUUACAAAAGCCAAGAAACUAAUUUUCACUGAUUUUUU